rnacentral:rRNA from 1 species
GACGAACGCUGGCGGCGUGCUUAACACAUGCAAGUCGAACGGAAAGGCCCAGCUUGCUGGGUGCUCGAGUGGCGAACGGGUGAGUAACACGUGGGUGAUCUGCCCCUAACUUCGGGAUAAGCUUGGGAAACUGGGUCUAAUACCGGAUAGGACAAUCGUUUAGUGUCGGUUGUGGAAAGUUUUUUCGGUUAGGGAUGAGCCCGCGGCCUAUCAGCUUGUUGGUGGGGUAAUGGCCUACCAAGGCGUCGACGGGUAGCCGGCCUGAGAGGGUGGACGGCCACAUUGGGACUGAGAUACGGCCCAGACUCCUACGGGAGGCAGCAGUGGGGAAUAUUGCACAAUGGGCGCAAGCCUGAUGCAGCGACGCCGCGUGGGGGAUGACGGCCUUCGGGUUGUAAACCUCUUUCGACAGGGACGAAGCUUUGGUGACGGUACCUGUAUAAGAAGCACCGGCUAACUACGUGCCAGCCGCCGCGGUAACAC